rnacentral:lncRNA from 1 species
GUUCUCCAACUCUGUCGUUUCUUUGCUUAGAAAGUAGUAGUUGAAAGGGGCCCCUCUGCGAGGUCCGUGCUCUGCCUUCCUUCUCAGGUCCCCAGUUCUGAAGCCAGUGGUCAUCAGUCUCCUCGGGACCCGAAAGCCUGCUGCCCCAGCCCCAAAUCCCUGCCCAGGAUCAAAGACUCGCCUUCACCCACUUGAGCUGGAGAUUGAUGACAGUGCUGUUCACCUGCCAUUUGCUUUAGUAAUAAUAGUGGAAAGAAGAAAAGAAAGAAAGGAAGGAAGGAAGGAAGGAAGGAAGGAAGGAAGGAAGGAAGGAAGGAAGGAAGGAAGGAAAAGAAAAGCAAAGCAGACGGGAGGAAAAGAAGAGACACACCAAGCCUUCCCCAGUUUCUCCGGGCUUUCGGGGAGGAUCCGGGUGGUGAACACAGCCCAGGACGGCGCACCUCCGUGCCGGAAUCAGACACUGCACAGUUCAAAGUUCAUAUACUUGAAUUCUAAAGAUUCUUUGGGAUGAGAACAUCUCGGUCCGCAGUAGUGGAAAGUGAGUAUAACAUCAUAUAAUCUGGGCAUGUAUAUGGCCGCAUGGUGAAUUAAUACUUGUCAGACCUUGUUACUCUGAAAUGGCCGUGGCAAGGUAAUGACCAUCAUUCAUUUUAUUUUAUUACUUUUUUUAUUUGAUUUCAUUUAGGCAUUGGCAAAGGUGAGGGGAUUGACUCGUAUUUCCUGUUUAUGUUUGAUAUCCAAAGCCCCUGGGGGUGGGGGGAGGCGAUGCUAGGGGAAAUUAUGCAAAUUAAAGAGGAAAUUUGCAAAGACACCUUGGCAAACUCAGAGACGAGAACAUCUAGCUUUAACUGUUUGGUCAUCCCAAUUCUUGGCUCUUGCACUCAUGGUUAGCGAAGAAGGUCUGAAGAGGGCAUGAAGCUGGUGUGGCUCGCAGAGUGAGUGGCUUUCUUGUUUGCAGGUGAAAUGGUCAUUGAGAUUUAACAUCCAAAAGUUUUGUCUUAGCAGCUAAUUGAGAAUAGGAAGCCCACUGAAUGAUGAAGCUUCAGGUUUUCUCAGCCAACAAAUCCUCCCGAGGCCUGUAAGAGUAAGUGAAAUGAAGAAGGGAGCCCUCAGUGAGGCAUCGUGGACCUGGGGGCAUCCCCUGGGAAAGAGGCCAUUCUCAGUGAAGGGAAACUCAACAGCAGGGCAUUUGGUGCUGGGACAGAAGGCAGCGUGGUGGACUGGGAAGCCAUAGAAGUUCGAAUCCCACUCCUGACACUUCCUAGGUAGGUGACUCAUUUUAAAGCAGGUCUUUUUAUCUCUUCAUAUAA